rnacentral:piRNA from 1 species
UGCCAAUUGGUUUAUGGGAAAGGAGACCA